UAUGUGAUCGUCUCUCGCAUAUCAAUAAGCGGAGGAAAAGAAACUAACAAGGAUUCCCCUAGUAACGGCGAGUGAAGCGGGAAGAGCUCAAAUUUGAAAUCUUAAAGGGUUUCCCUUUACGAAUUGUAGUUUAAAGAAGUGUUUUCUGUUGAGGUUUUGGUAAAAGUUCUUUGGAAUAGGACAUCAUAGAGGGUGAGAAUCCCGUAUUUGACCUUUACUUUCAACUUUGUGAUACACUUUCAAAGAGUCGGAUUGUUUGGGAAUGCAGUCCAAAAUGGGUGGUAAAUUUCAUCUAAAGCUAAAUAUUGGCGAGAGACCGAUAGCGAACAAGUACCGUGAGGGAAAGAUGAAAAGAACUUUGAAAAGAGAGUUAAACAGUACGUGAAAUGUCAAAAGGGAAGCGUUUGACACCAGUGUUGUUUUUCUGAAAAUCAAUUAAAGAACUGUUUAUGCUAAGCUGUUUAGACUUUAUCAGCUAAUCUGUUUAGUUUUGAGCUUUUCUUUAAUGCACUUUUCAGUUAACAAGUCAACAUCAAUUUCUUUUGCUGUAAAAAAGCUUGAGGAAGGUGGCUUGAGAUUCGUCUUAAGUGUUUAUAGCCUCUUGCCUAUGCAGUCGGAGAGAUUGAGGUCUGCAGCGUAGAUCCUUCGGGGCUAAAUGCAUUUGUGCUAAGUUAUAGCAUUUUAUAGACAACUUGUUGACUAUGAUUUGUCUUGUAGCUUACUCGCUUAUGUUAUUUUACCUACGCUUAGGAUGUUGAGCGCAUGUCUCUCUCU
rnacentral:rRNA from 1 species